rnacentral:rRNA from 1 species
UACGUAGGGGGCAAGCGUUGUCCGGAAUUAUUGGGCGUAAAGAGCGCGUAGGCGGUUUGGCAAGUCGGCUGUGAAAGCCCAGGGCUCAACCUCGGGUCUGCAGUGGGUACGGGCAGACUGGAGUGCGGUAGGGGAGAAUGGAAUUCCUGGUGUAGCGGUGGAAUGCGCAGAUAUCAGGAGGAACACCGGUGGCGAAGGCGGUUCUCUGGGGCGUAACUGACGCUGAGGAGCGAAAGCGUGGGGAGCGAACAGG